UACGAAGGGGGCUAGCGUUGCUCGGAAUCACUGGGCGUAAAGGGUGCGUAGGUGGUUAGGUAAGUCGGAUGUGAAAUCCCGGGGCUCAACCUCGGAACUGCAUUCGAUACUGCCUGACUGGAGUACUGGAGAGGAGAUUGGAAUUUACGGUGUAGCAGUGAAAUGCGUAGAUAUCGUAAGGAAGACCAGUGGCGAAGGCGGAUCUCUGGACAGUUCCUGACGCUGAGGCACGAAGGUCAGGGGAGCAAACGGG
rnacentral:rRNA from 1 species